ensembl:miRNA gmo-mir-11217 gmo-mir-11217
CUGCAGGCUGCCCAGGCCAUCCUUCGCCUGUAAGAUGGCCUGGUCAGCCUGCU